CAGCACCUCAAGUGGUCAGGAUGAUUAUUGGGCCUAAAGCAUCCGUAGCCGGCGCUGUAAGUUUUCGGUUAAAUCUGUACGCUCAACGUACAGGCUGCCGGGAAUACUGCAGCGCUAGGGAGUGGGAGAGGUAGACGGUACUCGGUAGGAAGGGGUAAAAGACUUUGAUCUAUUGAUGACCACCUGUGGCGAAGGCGGUCUACCAGAACACGUCCGACGGUGAGGGAUGAAAGCUGGGGGAGCAAACCGGAUUAGAUACCCGAGUAGUCC
rnacentral:rRNA from 1 species